rnacentral:rRNA from 1 species
ACACUCCUGCGGGAGGCAGCAGUGGGGAAUUUUGGACAAUGGGCGAAAGCCUGAUCCAGCCAUGCCGCGUGCAGGAUGAAGGCCUUCGGGUUGUAAACUGCUUUUGUACGGAACGAAACGGCCUUUUCUAAUAAAGAGGGCUAAUGACGGUACCGUAAGAAUAAGCACCGGCUAACUACGUGCCAGCAGCCGCGGUAAUACGUAGGGUGCAAGCGUUAAUCGGAAUUACUGGGCGUAAAGCGUGCGCAGGCGGUUAUGUAAGACAGUUGUGAAAUCCCCGGGCUCAACCUGGGAACUGCAUCUGUGACUGCAUAGCUAGAGUACGGUAGAGGGGGAUGGAAUUCCGCGUGUAGCAGUGAAAUGCGUAGAUAUGCGGAGGAACACCGAUGGCGAAGGCAAUCCCCUGGACCUGUACUGACGCUCAUGCACGAAAGCGUGGGGAGCAAACAGGAUUAGAAACCCGAGUAGUCCAUGAU